AGUGAACGCUGGCGGUAGGCCUAACACAUGCAAGUCGAACGGCAGCACAGUAAGAGCUUGCUCUUACGGGUGGCGAGUGGCGGACGGGUGAGGAAUACAUCGGAAUCUACUUUUUCGUGGGGGAUAACGUAGGGAAACUUACGCCAAUACCGCAUACGACCUACGGGUGAAAGCAGGGGAUCUUCGGACCUUGCGCGAUUGAAUGAGCCGAUGUCGGAUUAGCUAGUUGGCGGGGUAAAGGCCCACCAAGGCGACGAUCCGUAGCUGGAGUGAGAGGAUGAUCAGCAGCAGCGGAACUGAGACAGAGUCCAGAGUCCUACGGGAGGGAGCAGUCGCGAAUAUUGGACACUGGGCGCGAACCUGAUCCAGCCAUACCGCGUGGGGGGAGAAGACGUGACGGUUGUAAAGCCGUUAUGUUGGGAGAAAAAAGCAGCAGGUUAAUACCCCGCGGUUCUGACGGUAACCGAAGAAGAAGCACCGGCUAACUUCGUG
rnacentral:rRNA from 1 species